rnacentral:rRNA from 1 species
UACGAAGGGUGCAAACGUUGCUCGGAAUUAUUGGGCGUAAAGCGCACGUAGGCGGCUUGGCAAGUCGGAUGUGAAAUCCCCAGGCUUAACCUGGGAACUGCAUCCGAUACUGGAUGGCUUGAAUUCGGGAGAGGGAUGCAGAAUUCCAGGUGUAGCGGUGAAAUGCGUAGAUAUCUGGAGGAAUACCGGUGGCGAAGGCGGCAUCCUGGACCGACAUUGACGCUGAUGAGCGAAAGCUAGGGGAGCAAACGGG